CAAUAGGAACUACUCUGCACAAAAUAAUAAUAAAUAAAAUAUAAAGUUACAUUAAAUAAAUGAAUCUACGCAUUUCAUUAAAGAAAAGAAAACUAAGAAAAAAGUAGAACCCAGUUACCUGGCUCCGUCAGAAGAUGCAAAAUAACGAAGAGGAACUUGCCAAAAAUAGAACUUCUGAAUCAGCUCAAUUAUGAUUCUCGGUUGAAGUAAGAAGUGAGAGAAAAGUAAAAAUGGAAAACCUGAAAUCCAAAACCAACAAGAAUAGCUAUAAUUAAUAUAAAAUCCUUGAUCUACAAUCAAUCAGUAAAAAAAAGAGCAAACCCUAGAUAAAAUAAACGAAAAUGUAUAAUUUUUUAAUUUCUAACCGUAAUGUUAGAGCUAGAAGAAAAAGGACCGAGAAUGGGAAGAGCACGAGAUCGAGAUCUAACAGAGUAGCGAUGACAAAAAGGAAAGCUUUCCUUUACUUCAAAAGAAUUUUGACGUAUUGUCUUAUGUUUGGAGAGAGAAAAUAGAAAUAGAAAAGAAAAUACAAAAGAAAGGGGAAGAACUGUGAAACUAAAGAAGUUUGGAAGCUAAAGUUUACUGUGUGCUUGGAAUUUGGAUAUACAAAUACUUAUUUUUCUAAAAUUUCAUUCAACUGGAAGGAAAUACAAAACUUGAACCCAUGUAUCUCUUAACAUAGAUGCCAAU
rnacentral:lncRNA from 1 species